GCUCUCGAAAGCUUGAUUCGUCAAGUUGCCGGAGGUGGGGACACGAAGGCUGGUGGUAUUAUCCCGCAAUGGACAGAGAUCCGGAGGCGGGGACACGAAGCCAGCCGGUAUUAUCCCACAAUGGCUAGAGGGGUUCGAUCUGGGCCUAUGGGCUAUCCGUUUCGGCCUGACGAGGACGUCAGGAAUUUAAGUGGGGGAGUUUGUAACACCCCAGUCCCACAUCGAGAAGUGUGGAGACUUUAGUUCAGUUUAUAAGCAUAAGUACUACUACCAAUUGCACCAACAAAUCAUGAUCUUUUGGGGGCCUGUGGUGGGCUUGUGGAUUACCCAAGUUGUUGCAGUUGGGCCAGUAUAUUUAGGCUUAUUUUCGGAUUCGGAUUUCGGGACUUGACCCGAUUUUCGAAAAAGGCUCGGGAUUUGACCCGGGUUGUUUCA
rnacentral:lncRNA from 1 species